rnacentral:rRNA from 1 species
UACGAAGGGGACUAGCGUUGUUCGGAAUCACUGGGCGUAAAGCGCACGUAGGCGGAUGUGUCAGUCAGGGGUGAAAUCCCGGGGCUCAACCUCGGAACUGCCUUUGAUACAGCACGUCUCGAGUCCGGAAGAGGUGGGGUGGAAUUCCUAGUGUAGAGGUGAAAUUCGUAGAUAUUGGGAAGAACACCAGUGGCGAAGGCGGCUCACUGGCCCGUAACUGACGCUGAGGUGCGAAAGCGUGGGGAGCAAACAGG